ACGCUGGCGGCGUGCCUAAUACAUGCAAGUCGAACGAACUCUGGUAUUGAUUGGUGCUUGCAUCAUGAUUUACAUUUGAGUGAGUGGCGAACUGGUGAGUAACACGUGGGAGACCUGCCCAGAAGCGGGGGAUAACACCUGGAAACAGAUGCUAAUACCGCAUAACAACUUGGACCGCAUGGUCCGAGUUUGAAAGAUGGCUUCGGCUAUCACUUUUGGAUGGUCCCGCGGCGUAUUAGCUAGAUGGUGGGGUAACGGCUCACCAUGGCAAUGAUACGUAGCCGACCUGAGAGGGUAAUCGGCCACAUUGGGACUGAGACACGGCCCAAACUCCUACGGGAGGCAGCAGUAGGGAAUCUUCCACAAUGGACGAAAGUCUGAUGGAGCAACGCCGCGUGAGUGAAGAAGGGUUUCGGCUCGUAAAACUCUGUUGUUAAAGAAGAACAUAUCUGAGAGUAACUGUUCAGGUAUUGACGGUAUUUAACCAGAAAGCCACGGCUAACUACGUGCCAGCAGCCGCGGUAAUACGUAGGUGGCAAGCGUUGUCCGGAUUUAUUGGGCGUAAAGCGAGCGCAGGCGGUUUUUUAAGUCUGAUGUGAAAGCCUUCGGCUCAACCGAAGAAGUGCAUCGGAAACUGGGAAACUUGAGUGCAGAAGAGGACAGUGGAACUCCAUGUGUAGCGGUGAAAUGCGUAGAUAUAUGGAAGAACACCAGUGGCGAAGGCGGCUGUCUGGUCUGUAACUGACGCUGAGGCUCGAAAGUAUGGGUAGCAAACAGGAUUAGAUACCCUGGUAGUCCAUACCGUAAACGAUGAAUGCUAAGUGUUGGAGGGUUUCCGCCCUUCAGUGCUGCAGCUAACGCAUUAAGCAUUCCGCCUGGGGAGUACGGCCGCAAGGCUGAAACUCAAAGGAAUUGACGGGGGCCCGCACAAGCGGUGGAGCAUGUGGUUUAAUUCGAAGCUACGCGGAGAACCUUACCAGGUCUUGACAUACUAUGCAAAUCUAAGAGAUUAGACGUUCCCUUCGGGGACAUGGAUACAGGUGGUGCAUGGUUGUCGUCAGCUCGUGUCGUGAGAUGUUGGGUUAAGUCCCGCAACGAGCGCAACCCUUAUUAUCAGUUGCCAGCAUUAAGUUGGGCACUCUGGUGAGACUGCCGGUGACAAACCGGAGGAAGGUGGGGAUGACGUCAAAUCAUCAUGCCCCUUAUGACCUGGGCUACACACGUGCUACAAUGGAUGGUACAACGAGUUGCGAACUCGCGAGAGUAAGCUAAUCUCUUAAAGCCAUUCUCAGUUCGGAUUGUAGGCUGCAACUCGCCUACAUGAAGUCGGAAUCGCUAGUAAUCGCGGAUCAGCAUGCCGCGGUGAAUACGUUCCCGGGCCUUGUACACACCGCCCGUCACACCAUGAGAGUUUGUAACACCCAAAGUCGGUGGGGUAACCUUUUAGGAACCAGCCGCCUAAGGUGGGACAGAUGAUUAGGGUGA
rnacentral:rRNA from 1 species